rnacentral:rRNA from 1 species
UUCGAACGCUGGCGGCGUGCUUAACACAUGCAAGUCGAACGGAAAGGCCCUGCUUUUGUGGGGUGCUCGAGUGGCGAACGGGUGAGUAACACGUGAGUAACCUGCCCUUGACUUUGGGAUAACUUCAGGAAACUGGGGCUAAUACCGGAUAGGAGCUCCUGCUGCAUGGUGGGGGUUGGAAAGUUUCGGCGGUUGGGGAUGGACUCGCGGCUUAUCAGCUUGUUGGUGGGGUAGUGGCUUACCAAGGCUUUGACGGGUAGCCGGCCUGAGAGGGUGACCGGCCACAUUGGGACUGAGAUACGGCCCAGACUCCUACGGGAGGCAGCAGUGGGGAAUAUUGCACAAUGGGCGGAAGCCUGAUGCAGCAACGCCGCGUGCGGGAUGACGGCCUUCGGGUUGUAAACCGCUUUCGCCUGUGACGAAGCGUGAGUGACGGUAAUGGGUAAAGAAGCACCGGCUAACUACGUG